GUGCCAGCCGCCGCGGUAAUACGGAGGGAGCGAACGUUGUUCGGAUUCACUGGGCGUAAAGGGCGUGUAGGCGGUCUGGCAAGUCAGGGGUGAAAUACCGCGGCUCAACCGUGGAAUUGCCUUUGAAACUACCGGACUUGAGGCCGUGAGAGGAGACUGGAAUUCCCAGUGUAGCGGUGAAAUGCAUAGAUAUUGGGAAGAACACCAGUGGCGAAGGCGAGUCUCUGGCACGGUUCUGACGCUGAUGCGCGAAAGCUAGGGGAGCAAACGGGAUUAGAAACCCUCGUAGUCC
rnacentral:rRNA from 1 species